rnacentral:lncRNA from 1 species
CCUCCGAUGUGGGACAACUCAACACCCCCCAUCACGCCCAGAUCUCUGGAGCGUGGACAACAUAAAUGGGGGCCCAACAUCGGGACCAAGGACCUCAAAUCCCUCCAUUGUGGGACAACUCAAAACCCCCUCUCACACCCAGAUCUCUGGAGCGUGGACAACAUAAAUGGGGGCCACAACAUCGGUAACAAUAAUUGGGAUGAGCCUGGCUCUGAUACCAUGAUAAGAAUGGACCUUGGGCCUAACUCAACCCCAAAAGCUAGCUUAUGAGGUGAGGAUUGCCCAAGACAUAUAAGGAGACCAAGGACCUCAAAUCCCUCCAUUGUGGGACAACUCAAAACCCCCUCUCACACCCAGAUCUCUGGAGCGUGGACAACAUAAAUGGGGGCCACAACAUCGGUAACAAUAAUUGGGAUGAGCCUGGCUCUGAUACCAUGAUAAGAAUGGACCUUGGGCCUAACUUAACCCAAAAGCUAGCUUAUUAGGUGAGGAUUGCCCAAGCCAUAUAAGGAGACGAAGGACCUCAAAUCCCUCCGAUGUGGGACAACUCAA